CACCACUCAAGCACAGCUUGGUAUUGGGCAACCGCCCCCGCCAGUCGGGGACGCGCCUCAAACACCUCGGCGGAGCCUCACCGGCUUUGGGCGUAGUAGAAUUUCUAAUAACGUCCUUUAACGGAGAUGGUUCCUUUGCCGAUAGAAUCUUUUAAAUUUUUCUA
rnacentral:misc_RNA from 1 species